rnacentral:rRNA from 1 species
UAGGGAAUCUUCGGCAAUGGGGGGAACCCUGACCGAGCAACGCCGCGUGAGUGAAGAAGGUUUUCGGAUCGUAAAGCUCUGUUGUUAAGGAAGGACGUGUGUGAGAGUGGAAAGUUCACACAGUGACGGUACUUAACCAGAAAGGGACGGCUAACUACGUGCCAGCAGCCGCGGUAAUACGUAGGUCCCGAGCGUUGUCCGGAUUUAUUGGGCGUAAAGCGAGCGCAGGCGGUUAGAUAAGUCUGAAGUGAAAGGCAGUGGCUCAACCAUUGUAGGCUUUGGAAACUGUUUAACUUGAGUGCAGAAGGGGAGAGUGGAAUUCCAUGUGUAGCGGUGAAAUGCGUAGAUAUAUGGAGGAACACCGGUGGCGAAAGCGGCUCUCUGGUCUGUAACUGACGCUGAGGCUCGAAAGCGUGGGGAGCGAACAGGAUUAGAUACCCUGGUAGUCCACGCCGUAAACGAUGAGUGCUAGGUGUUAGGUCCUUUCCGGGACUUAGUGCCGCAGCUAACGCAUUAAGCACUCCGCCUGGGGAGUACGACCGCAAGGUUG